AAACAAAUUUCUAAUUUAUUUUGCAACAAAUGCAAACGCCAAGAAUCUAGCUGCACUUAGUCGCGUGAGAACAGCAAGGAUACACGCGGGACGUGUGGAAGCGGGACAAGUGUGGUGCCAACAUGUUGGUCAAGUGCUGCAUCGGAUUCGGGUCACUCUGGCCACUGGCCAUAAUGGUGGCCUUUUCCACUGCCUACAAGAACGUGCGUCUCCAGGACAACAUGUGCUCGGACAAACUGUUCUACACACUGGCUAAGCCGUUCCGUGGCGACCCGACUGUGCGGCUGGAGUUCGAGGACACAUCCGGAGCGAUCGUGACGCAGAUGUGGAACUUGACACUGCCCCACGGCCAUGGGGCCAACAAGAUUAAGUACGAUUGCCAGUUUCGUGUGGUGACCAGCGAGCUACCGCCGCGCGGCAUCUACACCAUUAUUACGCGGCUCAAGUUCCGGCGCGACCCCGUUUCCAAGGAAUGCAUCGAUUACAUUCAGUUCAGCAGCGGCAAUCGCUCGCCCAGCGAACGCAUUUGCACCGACAUCUCCAUUGAUGGCCCGGCCGGACGUCUGAUCUUCGACCAGCGAAACCGCGAUGUCAACGUGCACAUCUUCAUCGAUCGAUCGCGUCAUAUACUGGGUGAUCCACUGGAGCUGCGCAUGGUGCUUACGGCACACUCCGAGUGCCAGUUCAAUGGUGACUUCCUUUGCGAUCCCAACGACCAGUACUCGUGCAUUUCGCGUCACUUUGUGCGGGACAACAUCACCAACUGCCUGUAUCCGUGCCGCGACGAGGGCACCUGCUUUCACGACGCCAUUGUGCCGGAGAUCGAUACGGCCAAUGUGGCUAUAUCGGCGUUGACAUCGCUCAUCUUCACCAUGGUGGGCGUGGGAUUCUGUGUGUGGAUCUGCUGGAAGUAUUGGAACUGCAUAACGGUCCAGCAGCGGGCGCACGAAGCCUCCGCUGCCCGCUUCAAUCAGCGUCGAGUCAGAUCGGAGGUGCCCACCAUUGAGCUGCCACCGUCGGUGCACUACGACGAUAGCGUCCUGCACGAGCACGAUACCCAGCAGCAACAGCAACCCGCCACGCCAAAGGAUCUACCGCCCAGUUAUGAGUCCCUGUUCCCGGAAAGAUAAAGAUCCGCGACGGGUGUCGCUCCGCUUUGUGCCAGAUCAGCAAGUACUUGGUAUCGCACACUUGUUGUAUUAGUCCUAUUAGGUAAUUGUAUCUCUAUCUGAACCGUUCAGCAAUCCAUGUAAAUAUGUUAGGACUGAUUUUAUGUUUUGAGAUUAGCAUUAACGAUCAAACAUCUUUCUCAAUGUGUUCACUUUGAACCAAAUUUCAGAAUACUCUACCCGAGAAUUUCUACAGUUUUACUGGUGUAUAUAUUUAAGUUUUAUGUUGUUCAACUCUCCGUAUUAUUUGCGUAAUUGUAACUGUUGAAACCGCCUUUUGGCGAUGCAAAUUGUUUACUCACUUACCAAAUUUCACU
rnacentral:misc_RNA from 1 species